GUGACAAGCUACUAAGGGCGGUCGGUGGAUGCCUUGGCAUCAAGAGCCGAUGAAGGACGUUGUAACCUGCGAUAAGCCAUGGGGAGCUGGUAAACGAGCUUUGAUCCGUGGAUCUCCGAAUAGGGAAACCUCGAAUGUCCCGAGUUGUGUCGGGCGACCUCAUCCUGAAUAUAUAGGGGUGUUGGAGGGAACGUGGGGAAGUGAAACAUCUCAGUACCCACAGGAAGAGAAAACAAUUGUGAUUCCGUGAGUAGUGGCGAGCGAAAGCGGAAGAGGCCAAACCUGGUGUGUGUGAUAGCUGGCAGGCGUUGCAUGCUGGGGGUAGUGGGGCCGGCUUGGGAGAGCUGCUGAUCUCCCGACGAGUGAUAAAGGGAAUGCGAAGUCGAACAGCCUGGGAAGGUUGGCCAUAGUGCGUGACAGUCGUGUAGGCGUAUGUGUUCCCCUCGUGGUCGUUACCCCAAGUAGCACGGAACCCCUGAAAUUCUGUGUGAAUCCGGCGGGACCACCCGUCAAGCCUAAAUACUCCUUGAUGACCGAUAGCGGACAAGUACCGUGAGGGAAAGGUGAAAAGUACCCCGGGAGGGGAGUGAAAUAGUACCUGAAACCGACCGCCUACAAUCCGUCGGAGCCUCUUUGUGGGGUGACGGCGUGCCUUUUGAAGAAUGAGCCUGCGAGUCAGUGCUCGGUGGCGAGGUUAACCCGUGUGGGGGAGCCGUAGCGAAAGCGAGUCCGAAUAGGGCGUUUUAGUCGCCGGGUCUGGACCCGAAGCGGAGUGAUCUAUCCAUGGCCAGGUUGAAGCGACGGUAAGACGUCGUGGAGGACCGAACCCACUUGGGUUGAAAACCGAGGGGAUGAGCUGUGGAUAGGGGUGAAAGGCCAAUCAAACUCCGUGAUAGCUGGUUCUCCCCGAAAUGCAUUUAGGUGCAGCGUCGCCUGUUUCUUACCGGAGGUAGAGCACUGGAUGGUCUAGGGGGCCCACAAGCUUACCAAAAUCAGCCAAACUCCGAAUGCCGGUAAGUGAAGGGCGGCAGUGAGACUGUGGGGGAUAAGCUUCAUAGUCGAGAGGGAAACAGCCCAGAUCAUCAGCUAAGGCCCCUAAGGGACUGCUAAGUGGAAAAGGAUGUGGAGUUGCGAAGACAACCAGGAGGUUGGCUUGGAAGCAGCCACCCUUGAAAGAGUGCGUAAUAGCUCACUGGUCAAGUGAUUCUGCGCCGACAAUGUAGCGGGGCUCAAGCAGUCCGCCGAAGCUGUGGCAACCAUGCGUGUACUUGAUCUUUGGAUCCAGGUGUGUGGUUGGGUAGGGGAGCGUCGUGUGUGCGGUGAAGCGGCGGGGUGACCCAGUCGUGGAGUGCACACGAGUGAGAAUGCAGGCAUGAGUAGCGAAAGACGGGUGAGAAACCCGUCCGCCGAAUAUCCAAGGGUUCCAGGGUCAAGCUAAUCUGCCCUGGGUGAGUCGGGACCUAAGGCGAGGCCGACAGGCGUAGUCGAUGGACAACCAGUUGAUAUUCUGGUACCGGCGAAGCAACGCCCGUGCCGAGGCCGGUGAUACUAAGCACGCAAGGCCGUCCGUGUCACCCUUCGGGGUGGUUGGGUGGUUGAGUCUGUGACCUGAGCCGGUAGUAGGCAAGCUGCGGAGGGACGCAGGAAGGUAGCCCAUCCCACGCGAUGGUUGUCGUGGGCUAAGCGCGUAGGCUGUUGCAUUGGCAAAUCCGUGCGACGUGUGGCUGAGACGUGAUGGCACUGCCCCGUUGGGGGUGGUGUGGGUGAUCCUAUGCUGCCUAGAAAAGCUUCGUGAGCGAGUUGUGAGCCGCCCGUACCCCAAACCGACACAGGUGGAUAGGUAGAGAAUACCAAGGCGAUCGAGAGAAUCGUGGUGAAGGAACUCGGCAAAAUACCCCCGUAACUUCGGGAUAAGGGGGACCUGAACCGUGAACACCUUUGCGGUGGGAAGCGGGGAGGGUCGCAGAGACCAGGCCCAAGCGACUGUUUACUAAAAACACAGGUCCGUGCGAAGUUGAAAGACGAUGUAUACGGACUGACUCCUGCCCGGUGCUGGAAGGUUAAGGGGAACUGUUAGCGCAAGCGAAGCGGUGAACUUAAGCCCCAGUAAACGGCGGUGGUAACUAUAACCAUCCUAAGGUAGCGAAAUUCCUUGUCGGGUAAGUUCCGACCUGCACGAAUGGAGUAACGAUUUGGGCGCUGUCUCCACCACGAACUCGGCGAAAUUGCAUUACGAGUAAAGAUGCUCGUUACGCGCAGCAGGACGGAAAGACCCCGGGACCUUUACUAUAGUUUGGUAUUGGUGAUCGGUACGACUUGUGUAGGAUAGGUGGGAGACUUUGAAGCUGUCACGCCAGUGAUGGUGGAGUCAACGUUGAAAUACCACUCUGGUCGUUCUGGUUAUCUAACCUCGGACCCUGAUCGGGUUCAGGGACAGUGCCUGAUGGGUAGUUUGACUGGGGCGGUCGCCUCCCAAAAGGUAACGGAGGCGCCCAAAGGUUCCCUCAGCCUGGUUGGCAAUCAGGUGUUGAGUGUAAGUGCACAAGGGAGCUUGACUGUGAGACAGACAUGUCGAGCAGGGACGAAAGUCGGGACUAGUGAUCUGACGGUGGCGUGUGGAAGCGCCGUCACUCAACGGAUAAAAGGUACCCCGGGGAUAACAGGCUGAUCUUGCCCGAGCGUCCAUAGCGACGGCAUGGUUUGGCACCUCGAUGUCGGCUCGUCGCAUCCUGGGGCUGGAGUCGGUCCCAAGGGUUGGGCUGUUCGCCCAUUAAAGCGGCACGCGAGCUGGGUUUAGAACGUCGUGAGACAGUUCGGUCCCUAUCCGCUGCGCGCGUUAGAGUCUUGAGAAGGGCUGUCCUUAGUACGAGAGGACCGGGACGGACCAACCUCUGGUGUGCCAGUUGUCCUGCCAAGGGCACGGCUGGUUGGCUACGUUGGGAAAUGAUAACCGCUGAAAGCAUCUAAGCGGGAAGCACGCUUCAAGAUGAGGACUCUCACCACCAUCGAGUGGGUAAGGCCCCCUACAGACCAUGGGGUUGAUAGGCCAGACGUGGAAGCACAGCAAUGUGUGGAGCUGACUGGUACUAAUAGGCCGAGGGCUUGUCACACACCCAACAA
rnacentral:rRNA from 1 species